rnacentral:rRNA from 1 species
AUUGAACGCUGGCGGCAGGCCUAACACAUGCAAGUCGAACGAGUGGCGGACGGGUGAGUAAUGUCUGGGAAACUGCCUGAGGGAGGGGGAUAACUACUGGAAACGGUAGCUAAUACCGCAUACCAGCACAUGUGCCCAGAUGGGAUUAGCGAGUUGGUGGGGUAACGGCGCACCAAGGCGACGAACCCUAACUGGUCUGAGAGGAUGACCAGCCACACUGGAACUGAGACACGGUCAAGACUCCUACGGGAGGCAGCAUUGGGGAAUAUUGCACAAUGGGCGCAAGCCUGAUGCAGCCAUGCCGCGUGUAUGAAGAAGGCCUUCGGGUUGUAAAGUACUUUCAGCGGGGAGGCGUUACCCGCAGAAGAAGCACCGGCUAACUCCGUGCCAGCAGCCGCGGUAAUAC